AUGCAAAAAAAUGAAACGAAAUCAAGAAGAAGAAAAUGCAAGAACAUAGGGAAGCAUAACAGAGGCGAUAAGGUGGUGGAUGUGACGAUGAUUUUUGGUGGUAUACGGCUCCUUGAUGAGGAAGAAGAAGAAGAUGUCGUUGCUGUUGUGUUUGAGAAGAAGAUGAGAUCAGGAAGAGAGUUUCGCUUGCACAAAGAGAGGAAGAAUCGACCAAAGAAAGAAGAAAGCGGCGCCGCUCGUGUUUCAUGGAGAAGAAGAACGGAAUAA